ensembl:lncRNA
GAUAUCAUACAUGAUUAAAUUGUUUUGCUGUAACACAAUCCUAAAUCGAUAGCUUUGAGGGAAUAGGAGGCCACACCCCCUUUGGGGCUGAAAGAGACCACUAGGCCACACCUUACACAUUUAGCUGUGGUCCCCACAAGGUAGGCGUUUAACGCAGCGCUCUCUCGGACACGUAUAGCUCUGGUCCCCACGAGGUAGGUAUUUACUGCAGCGCUCUCUCGGACACGUAUAGCUCUGGUCCCCACGAGGUAGGUAUUUACCGUAGCGCUCUCUCGGACACGUUUAGCUCUGGUCCCCACGAGGUAGGUAUUUACCGUAGCGCUCUCUCGGACACGUAUAGCUCUGGUCCCCACGAGGUAGGUAUUUACUGCAGUGCUCUCUCGGACACGUAUAGCUCUGGUCCCCACAAGGUAGGUGUUUAACGCAGUGCUCUCUCGGACACGUGUAGCUCUGGUCCCCACAAGGUAGGUAUUUACCGCAGUGUGCUUUCUCAGACACGUUUACAACAGCAUUUUUUUUUUUUAAAAAAGAGAUGUUUCUGUUUGGUCCAUGAUCCAAUUAAGAC